GGAGCAGCCGCAGCCGCCGUUUCGGGGAGGGUCGGGCUGCCGUCCCGCCCCGGCCCAGCGGCAGCGCUCGCGUCCCAGCGUCUAUUGAAAUCACGUAGUCGCGAUACGUACAAAUAUAUACGUGUUCACGUGUGUGCGCAGGCAUAUAUAUCUUCUUAAAAAAUAGAAUCUUCUCACGGGCAAACCAACCGUACCUGUUCCUGGGCUCGAGGUGACGCGCUCUGAGGCGACGUGAGGCAAAAUGGCGGCUGCGCGCCCACCUGCAGCCGCGCCAGGCUCUGGUGCGGGGCUCUGCCCGAUGAGGCAUUUCUCACCCGCAGCCGAAAUACCGCAGGGGCCUUUCCUUCCCUCCUUGGGGGAGGAUGAGGGCCUGAGGGUCGAGAGGGGUCCAGCAGGAGUCCGGGCCCUGCUGCUCACCCUCAUGGGGCGGGGGGGAAGGCUGAUGGCAGCGGAUGAAGAAGGGGAGGAGAGCGGGAGCUGAUGGCAGCCCUGUGCCUUGCUCAGUCGUUCUCCACCGUUGUUGAUCCAGCCAAGGGGCUCUGUCCCUCUGCUGUCCUCUCAUGCGUGGUGCAGUCCAGAGUAUUGGUGGUGGGAGGCCCCGGGGACGUGAGGGAUUCACGACUGUGGCGCGGUGCCGGCUGUGGAGGCAGUGGUGGAGGGAUGGAGGGAGCUCCCAGCCGUCGCGGCCGGGCCUUGGGGCUGGCGGUGUGCUCAGGGAUCGUGCUCCGGGCUUGGGCUACAGGAGGCGGCCCUGUGGGUCGGGAUGGAGCUGGGCGCUUGCCUGGAAAGAGAGCAGAUGGAGGUCAUGAUGUGCGUCUCAGGUAGGGUGGAGGACAAGAUGCCCCUUGCCUAGCUAAUGUAGCGGAGCCCCAUGUGGGUCAGACAGAGUACAUCCCACUCUUUGGGGUCUUUUCCCACCCUCUUCAGUUCGCAGUGAGACUUGAGCUUUGAAUGGAGUGCUUCCCAUCCCAGAGUCCCACCUUGGCUGGGGAUGGAGAGCAGAAAGCGAGGGGACAGAUUGAGGCCCUUCUCCCAUGUGGGCCCUUGUACCCUAUCUUGCAGGACGUGGUGAGAUAAGGAUAAACUGGAGAAGGUGGAUGUGUCUGCCCUGUAGGCUUCUCCCAAGCACUGUGCCUUCAUGUCCUAACCUUUGCGGGCGGUGUCACUGGCUGGUGUUGGAGCUGGUGGCACUGCGGCUUCAGGGGAUGGCUUGGUCACCACUGGGGAAAGUGGCUGGGAGCUCACUUCGGAGUCAUUUGUGCUGGAGGAGAAGGGGACAGUCGGGGUGUUCAGAUGAUGGUUAGAACCAGCACCACAGAGCAUGGCGGUCCUGGCCUUGCAGCCUGUGGGGUGGGGUGGAAUAGAGGUCAGGAGCCCCCUGCUCCUGCCAGACUUACGCCUCUUCGUCCAGGGGAGAUGGAGAGCAGGCUGGGGGGGAUUUGGGAGGCAGCUCAUCUACCGGGGCAAUCUCAUUGAGUCUUACAUCCGCAGGCAGUGUGAACAUCCCUGAGACGUUGAAAUCUAUCUCUGCAUGGGGAGAAAGGCCAAGAAGUGCUAAUGGCACCCCUGCUAGACGCUGAGCAUGCCCCAGGAGCAGACUCCACAGCAAGGAACUGCAGCUGCCUGGGAUGCUCUUCAUCCAUUCUGCUGCUAUUUGUGGUGCUUUUCCUGUUUGCCUUCACCUUCUGCUAUGGUCCCCAAAGGUGGAAAGACAGAGUGAAAGCCUACCUCCAGGGAAGAUUAUGUCUGCGUUCUGGAUGAGGGCUUCCACAACUCCCACCACCUGAAUGGAGGAGACUGAGGCCAAGUCCAGUUGCACAGGAUCUCUGAGAGGCAGAGGUGGGAGACCCAUCAGGGAAGCAGUUAUGGGAAUUAACCCAUUUUAUGUUAAGUCUGGAGGAGUAAAGCCCAAAAAGAGGGACUGCCUCUCUCCAGAAAACCUGCAACCCAGCCAGACCUCACCCUGUGCUCUGCUCUGGCCACAGCAGGUUGGGGCCCAGCACUAUGGCGAUGUUGCUGGGGGUCAUUUUAUUCACGUUCUGGUGCUCUGCCAGCUUGGCUAAAAACUUGAUCAGAUACCUACAGGGUAAAAGGAGGACAAGGAGACAGUGAGUGCACCCUUAGGAAGGGAUCGGCUGCCCCUGGUGAAUGCUUGGGAUCAAAGAAGCCCCAUCCCACAGAAACACCUCAAAUUGUUGUAGCUGUCCUGGGGCAGGCGGCUGCAGGUGUCUCUCAGGCUCUGUACGCGGUCGCCAAUGUCCUUUAAGCUGCAGAAGAGAGAAAAAGAGAGCUCAGACUGCUUUGCAGGACAAAGAUGGACAUGGUGUAUGAGGUAGAAGGGCUGAUGAUGUUCAUGAUGGGCACUGCUGUAUCUUUUUCACUACUCCUCCCACCCCCCGAAGUGAGAGGCCAAACAGCUGCUGGGCUGUUGGGCUUGUGAGCCCUGACCCACCUGGCCACUUUGAUCCAUUCAUCGUAGAGCUUGAAGGUCAUCAGAGGCUCAGGCAGCUCCCGCAGGUAGGAUUUUAAUGCGCCUGGAGAUGGAAUGGGGAGGUGAUGGAGGCUGGGGGACAGCAGUACCACCUGCCCCCCAUAUCCCUGCCCCAUGUCAUCGCACCCACCGGCCACGGCAUGGGGGUCCGAGUAAAACUCCUCCAGGGCAUUAGAGCCACUGGCCAAGCUGCUCUUCAGCUUCCUUAGCACCGAGGCACCUGCUGCCAGGCGGAAGAGUCCCUGGGGAUGGAACGAAGGGAUGCAGGGUGCUGUGAAGUGUUUUUAGGGAGUGUAGGAUGGUGUGGGCUGCCUACCUCUUCCUUCAUGCCUGAGGCCAGCAGCAUCAUGACACAGGCCUCGAUAGGUAGAGCGAUCUCUCGGCCCAAGUCCUUGAGGUGUGUCUGCAGGGGCACGCCGUAGUACCCUAGCACUGGGGUUUCUGUGGUGAAGGAGGGCUCUGAGGGAGACAGGGAGAUGUUCUUAGGGAUUGGGGUCCCGGAGGUAUCCAACCAUGGUGGCAUCUCACUCCAAAGCUGGGGUUAGCUUGGUAGAAGCAGUGCCCACCACCCCAUGGUAGGAGUCAGUGACAGGCACAGGGAAAAGAAGCCACCUUUCCCAGCUUUGCUGGCUGUUCUCACAUCCAUCCCCAUGCUACCUUGCAAGUGAUUGGGUACCUUUCUGGCUGUGGCUCUCCUUCAGCUCUGUCAGAGCCGAGUCCAGAGAUUCAAGAGACUGCCGGUGGUACUGGGCUUGGAUUUCCAGCAGCUGCCAAACAGGGGACAAACAGCCAGUGCUCAGCUUGGCACUGUCUCCUCUCCAGAGACCCAUCCCCAGGUCACUGAUCUCAUAAGAAGAGAGCACCAAGAAAGCAAAGAUGCUGCAGGAAGAACUGCAAGGGAAAUCCCCUGGAUCUGUGGGACCAUGUCUAUAGUACCAGAUAGAAGACAAAUUAGAGAGGGGGAUGAACUGGGACAACUGCUCUAUUUGGAGGCAUCUUCUAGUGCAUGCGGUGCUCUGCUUUGGCUGGAGGGCUUGUUGCAAAUGGAGACAAGGAUGGACAUACCCCAGGAGACAAUUCAUAUGCUAAGAGGAGAACUUACUCUGAUGAAGUAGCUGGCAUAGCUGUCUUCUUUGGUGGAGAAGUGGUAAAGGUCAGCCAUGUACUCAUCCUGGGGAGACACCAAGAAGAGCAUCCUUCCCCCUCCUGCCUGGCACCCGAGGGAGAGGGGAUGCCUUCAAGAAGCCCCUCACUCAGGGAAGGUGAUGGGAGGGCAGGCUGGGGCUGCGUGAGGACCCUUCCUUACCCCUGUCACUUGUGUUUAAGUCAUAGCAGUGACCUGCUCUACCACAAGGCCCUAGAACUUCACAAGAGGAUCUCCCAGCUAUGGUAGGUUCUGACAAACAAGGCACAGAGCAAUCAAAGAGAAACAGUGUGAACGUGUAGAAGGAUGAUGGGAGUCAGUCCCCUGUCAUCCAGCACAGACCUCAGCUCAGCUGGGUCUCAGCUUGGGAGCACCCCAUGAUUUCCCUGCUCUAGCUCAUGAAGCCUCCUCUCUGCAACAGCUUAUGCUUCAAAUCCUUUACUUUUGUUCUUCCCCAGGCUUGGGGCAUCUCCCUGUUUUCACGCUGCAAGGGAGCUGGUUGCUUGUGCAGGGUAGGCUGCGCUGGCUGGCUUGCUCUUGGUGUGGGUGUCGCCUCAGAUGGAGCUGCUGGAGAAGAGCAGGUCUCCAGCCCCGGAGCUGCCCCAAGGAGAGCCACUGAUGUUCUCACCUUGCAUUGCUCCACCUUCCUCUUCACCUCCUCCUCCUCCUCCUUCAGGAUCUCCAGUUUGUUGGCAGCAGAAGAUGCCCCUGGGCCAGCUCCAGCUCCUGCGCUGUUACUGGAACUCUUGGCAGCUUGGUUCAGCCUUUGAGGUGGGAGAGAAGAAGCAACACCCACAGCCUCAUCAGUGGGAACACAGGAUGAAAUAUUAGGAAAAAAUAGUGAAAUAAGGAAAAAAUUAUUCUUAUAGUGGUGAUGCACUGGAGCAGGCUGCCCAGGGAACUGGUGAAGUCACUUUCCCUGGAGGUGUUCAAGAACCAUAUGGAUGUGGACAUGGUUAGCGGGGGUGGUGGGGAUGGGUCGAUGGCUGGACUAAAUGAUCCCAGUGAUCUUUUCCAACCUUAAUGGUUCUAUGAUUUUGUGAUUCUGUGAAUGUGGAGAGGGGGGUUGGGGACAAGUUACCACCUCUUUGGCUUCACUCCUGUCUCUGGGAGAUUUGCUCCCCAUACUGGCAGAGGGCAGUUAUCUGCUCCUCUCCUCCAACCCAGUUGGUCUCCCAUGGCCACACUGUGCUCCAUACCGGCUCUUGAUGGCAUUCCAGUCAGAAAUCAGCUUCUGGAGGGUCUUCUUGUGCUUUAGGAUGAUGGGAAGCUCCUCCUGGAAGAGAGGGGCCAGGGUGAGUGGCAAAGGCUUGGGGAUGGAACACUGCAGCUGGGGAUUGGCCAUGGCUACCUCACUGAGCUUGUUGAGUGGUUGCAGGACGUCGCGCUCUACAGCGAUCUCAAACUCAGCCAGGAUCUUGGCCAGCGAACUCUGGAUGCAGCAACCCAUCUCCAAGGCUCUCCUGAAAGGGAGAGAGAAGUGAAACAAGCACAGGCUGGAGCUAUGCCAGCCUCCAACCCAACAUCCCUUACCACACCUGUACCCAUGUGGGGACCCAGAGCCAGCCCCUGUCCCCCUUCUGUGCUUGGAGGCUGUCCCCUCAUCCCCCUUGAUGCUGGUGUUUUCCAUGUUCUCAGGACAGGGUUUGACAGCCUGGCUUGGAAGUGGAAGCCCCAGAGCCCAGGCAGCAGCUCAGCUAAGUUUUUGCCAUCUUUUCCCACUGGCACUUACCCAAGGCUGGACUCUGUGUCCAGUUCCUUGAAGCUCUCAGCCAUCGUUGCAGACAGAGCCAUCAAGGGUAGCUUCUUCUGCACAGAGCCAUAGGUUUGGGAAAAGAGAUGAUGAGCUGAUGUGUGGCAGCUCACUUGCCCCGAGGCAUGCCAGUGUGGGCAAGGGACAGACAGGCUCCCAAACCCACACUGGUUCCCCACAUCUCCUUCAGGUCCAGCCCCCUCUUGGCCUUGGGGCCAGAGGAAAAGCUCUCUGGAUGUCCCUUUGGCCGAAGCAAGGACACAGUUGGCUAAACAGCCUGUUAGAAAUUCUCUAGCCUUCUCCAAAACAGCAGAGGACUGUGGGACAGAUGGAGGACACUACUAAGCUCAGCCCUGCCAUGGCUUCAAGUGUAUGGCGGAAUUUAAUGUCAAGAAUAAUUUAGCCAAGCUAGGAGAAGAAAGGGUCUGCAGUACCAUGGAGAGGGCUUGGGAAAGCACAGGGCUUGCUUUCCAGACAGGAACUGGUGAGCACCAGCUGGGAAGGAGGUGGCAGGUUCAAACCAAGGAAGAGGAAGCGGUGGUGUACCCAUGCCCAGCUGCACUGUGCUGCUCCUCACCGCUGGAGUUCAGGAGAGGGCAUGGGCUUAGGGCUUUGCAAAGAUGCUAUCUAGGACUCAAAAAGCACUUUGGCCCCAGGUUUGUGGUGGCUGAGGACGUGUCCGGGGGACACUCACCACUCGCUUGUCAAUUUCAGUGCCGCAGUGUCCCUGCAGACAAGCCUGGAGCCGCUUGGACACGGUGUGAGCCGCUCGCUUGGCUGGCUCGAUCCUCUGCUCGAUCUGGGGGUGGAAAGGUGGCACCGGUGAGCCCUUCCUUGUAGCAGGGGGGGCAUGUCAGAGCAGUGCUCGCUGACACAGCUGUGCUGGAUCUGCCAGUGCUGUGCCGAAGCUGCUGUGUUGGCCCUGGAGCUGCCCUCCAGCAGAUAGGAGUGUUCCAGCCCCAUGACAAGGAGGUGCCAGUGGGGAGGAUCGCAGGUAGGGAUGGGGCACGUCCCCACGUGUGGAUGCAAGCUGGCACUCGCCUCACCUGCAGCAAAUCUUCUGUCAGGAACUCGGUUGCUUCUUGGGCUCUGUGGAGGGAGAAGAACAGGCCAUGAGAAGAAAUGGGGGAACUUCCUCCUGCAUCUCACCCUCCUCUCUUUGAGGUCCCGAUAGGAGGUGCUGGCUAUGACCCAGACCAUCCUACCCAAGGUUACAGGCAGAGCGAGCCCAGGAAGAGAGCACCAGGAAGAAGAGAAGCAGCUCCCAUCAGACUGGGCUUCAGGUGUCUCCCCAUCAGGUGUCUCCUCAUCAGACUGGGCUUCCAGCUCAGAGCACUCAGCUCAAAAUCUCCCUAUGGGACAGGGCCACUGUUCUGGUGAGAAGACUGGGGGUAAAACUUUCUCCUGACUGCCUCUUUGCUGAAGGCAAAUAUAAGGCAGAUCCUGCAGGAACCCUGUGGGUAUCUGUCUUUGCUGGGCAGAUUGCUGGAAGUUGAGGUGCCACCAGGGCUGGAGCAACAGUAACACUGUGGUAAGGUUGGAGAUGUAGACCAACACUUGCCCCCUGCAGGGCAUAAAUGAAGGCAGCUUUCUGAUUGGUUUUGCAAGCAAGCAUGCAGAGUGAAUCCUGCAAAGGAAGCUUCUGGUUUGCAGCAAAUCCUGAUCAAAACCCAAUUCAAAACCCAACACCCAAGGCCACCAAACCUCCAUGAUUCCUCCCAUAGGGGAAACUUUGCUUAGUAGACCCAUGUCCUUGCUGCUCCCUGGGAACCUCCUCUGCUGCUGCUUUAUCCCCCUGCCCAGCCACUUCACGUUUCUGUUUUCAGCUCCUGCAAGAACUGACAUGGGACAAGCUGCAGGAAACGGGGGUGGUUGGCUUGAAGGCAGCCAAAGUCAUGUGAGAUUGCAGCCCCGUGGAGGAGAGGCUCUGUGGGUGUCCACACUGCUGGCCAGAUGCAGGGCACCAGGCACCUGUCAGAAUGGACGGAGCAAGUCCCAGCUCCUCUUGGACACCGCACAGCUUAGGGCAUGUGGCUGGGGAGACCCUGCCCAGUGCCCUCAUGUCCUGGGGAAGCCAACCUCCAUAGACAGCCAGGUUGUGGAGCCCAUCCCUGGUGCCCAAUCCAACCCGCUGCCCACCCCCAGACCCUCGUGCUCCCUCUCAGCUCACAGACCCUGGAAGUAGAGAAGUCCUUACCGGCUGGUGGCGUUGGGAUGGGACAGCUGCUGCCGCAUCCGAUUGAACUGCCUCUUCAUCAUCUUGAGAGGUGAAGCUCAGUACCCCUCGGUAACACUUGGCAUGAGACGCCCACAGCCCUUCUGCUCUGCAGAGCUGCCGUUCCCCGAGCACCUCUCCCUCCUUGCUCCUUCCUUCUUCCCUGGUUCCUUCUUUUUCUUUUUGCCGGUCUGUCCCCUCCCCUGUCCCUCCCCGGGGAUGCCCUGCCUGCUUUUUCUUCCCCUCCCUUGGGCUCUCUCUCACGGUCCCUCUCUUUUUCUGAGCUUCCUUCCUGGCUGCAGAUCAGGUAAGAGCGGUUCAGGGCUCUGCUCUGCUCUGUGUUCCUGUCACCACCCCACAAAGUAUAAAUAACUUAAGCCCAGCCUUAAAGGGGAAAUAUUAUUGCAGCAAACACAUUACAGGACGGGCGCGCGCUGUUGCUGAGCCCAAGCGGGAGGCCCACGCUCUGUUUUUCACCCGCCUUGCCGUGUUUACCACCAGCUGUGGUGUGGGGGGGGGGCACUUCGGGGUGAUGCCCACCCCACGCUACCUGGUCAUCCCGGCACCCUUCUGCAGAUGGCAAAGCCAUCCCUUCCCCUGCUGCCCUCGCAAGGUUGCACGGUGACCACAAGCUGCACGUUCCCAUCCUUAGCGUCGCUCACUCUGCAGAGCUGCGCUCAGCUGAAACCACACGGUGCAACUUUUUUUUUUAUUUGCUAAAAGUAUUCCCCCACACAUUCUGCUUCCCACUCUGCAUGAUGCAAAGCUUGCCUUAUCUCUGGCUACCUGCAGCUGGGGCUUUCCUCUUCCUGCACUAAGAGCAGAGGCUAAGCUAUGUGGAACCAGCAUCCGAACAGGGAUGGGAAGUGAUCACUCCAGCUGUGCCCCAAAGCUUGGAGCUGCUGGGCUCUGCUCUUCCUUACUGGAGGGUGCAGCAGAAGCGAUGCUGGAUCCUCUGUUUGCAAGGGACGUGGCUUAGCAGGCAGUACUGCCAGGUGGAUGGUUGGACUAGGUGAUCUAAGAGGUCUUUUCCAACUUUAAUGAUUCUAAGGGGGGGACCAAGCAAGGGAACGCUGCCUGAGCAUCAUUUUGCUCUAAAACCUUCAACCAAGUGGCCACCCACGCCUGACUCCCAGCAACCAACCCCCAGCUCUGCACCAAAACCACCCUAAUAAAGCUGCUUCCGAUCAGCAGCCUCAGGGAGGAGGAAGUUUUGCUGCAAAGCCACCAGCCUGCAAACAGCCCUGCAGCCUGGGAGCAGCUCACCAUGAGCUGGGGGACACCAGCCCCUGCCCACUGCUUGCCCCAGAGAGAAGGAAACUGAGCACAGCUCAUAGCAUUGACGGGGCCUGCUCUCAAACAGGAAUUGAGAGCAGCUGGGGGACUUCCACCAUUCACUCUCCCUGCUCAUGAACCAGUGAGAUUGGAGUAGUGAGGCUUGAGAGGAGCUGGGGCAGGACAGGAGCUGGCAACGGCCCUAUGCAGGGCACACAGCUCCUCGCUGCAGUCAGGGGAAAAUGCAGUCAGAAGGCACAGCCAUCAGGAAAGAACUCUUUAUUUCCCAUAAAUACAGCAGAUUUGUCGCGCCGGGCGUUAUUUUUUUAUUUUUGUUUUCUUCCAUUUACAGAAUUUGCACUGAAAAUAUAUACAAGUCUGUUCAAGAACCAAACAAGAUCUGCAAAGAAAAAAAAAAAACCAAAAACAAAAACCCAUACAAAACCCUGAAAAGAGACCAGAAAGGGAAG